UACCCACCCAGUUGACUACUUUUAAAUGGUGGAAGCAAUGUGGCAAUGUCUAUACCAAAACAAAGUGAUAUCCUUCUAGACUAGAGUCCUCCUUUUACUGUAUAUCUCAUGGACCAAUGAAUGUAAAUAUCAAUAUCUAAUGGAUCAAUGAAGGUAAAUAUCAAUAUCUAAUGGAUCAAUGAAUGUAAAUAUCAAUAUCUAAUGGACCAAUGAAUGUAAAUAUCAAUAUCUAAUGGACCAAUGAAUGUAAAUAUCAAUAUCUAAUGGACCAAUGAAUGUAAAUAUCAAUAUCUAAUGGACCAAUUAAUGUAAAUAUCAAUGUCUAAUGGACCAAUGAAUGUAAAUAUCAAUAUCUAAUGGACCAAUGAAUGUAAAUAUCAAUGUAUGUGUCUCUCCUCUCAGCCCUGUGGUCCUCUCAUCUUGGAGAAUUUCGAUUCAGCUUUUAAGUCCGUACUUGGAUUCUUCCUUGGAUUUGGUUUUUAUGCUUGUAUUGGGCAAGUGUUAUCCGGCGUGAUGAUUCAUCAGGUCAAGAAGGUGCAGUCUACUGACGUCCCUGAGACUAUAGAAGAUGGAUAUCGUUUCACACCGAAAUUCCAGGCAAUUCGCCAUGUGGAGGGAGUUGCGGGAGUUGAACCGACGACCUUCUACCCAUAACCAGGGAUGAGGUCAGGGUUUCAGGUUUUUGGCAUCCUGGCAAAGCAGCGAGGAGUAGAAGGUGCUUGAACAACGGGAGACGAGGUGCAACCAGAAGAAGAAUAUGAGCGUUCGGGAACGGAAAGGCACAACUCACUGCUCACAGUUAUAAAUGAUGUCAUUUUGGAGUCACUGUUAUUGUAAAUAAGAUGUGUUUUUAAUGAAUAAUCCUGAAUGAAUCGUGAGUAACGAUGAGUGAGAAAUUUACAGAGGCGCUAAUAUCACAACUCACUGCUCACAGUUAUAAACAUGAUGCUUCGUUUAUCUCAUUUGUGUAUAAUAUAUUUUAAAUCAUAAUAAAGUUUCGUCUGUCCAUA